rnacentral:tRNA from 1 species
UCCAGGGUAGCCUAGUGGACAUGGCAUCUGCCCGGUAAGCAGAACACUGUGGUCUCGAUUCCCAUCUCUGGAC